UCUAGAUCAAGAGAAAAACGUCAGGAGAAAUUACCUGAGAAAGACUCAAUAAAGCCAGAUAAAACGAAUUCUAAACAUGAAAAGGAAGAACAAAUGAAAGAUGGCACAAUUAUAAAGAUAAUUCAAGAUAUAAUAAUACGGCCCACCAGCAAGACAGCUGUUAAAGAAGAAGACGCCCCUACAGAAAAAAACAAAUCAGAGACUGCGAAAACAGCUAAACCAAUAGGACGAAUACAUAAUAAGCAAGCUCAGAAAAAAAAUAGUUCACUUCGUCAGCCGAA